rnacentral:tRNA from 1 species
GGCCCCAUAGCUCAGCCUGGUGGAGCGCUGCUCUUAUAAGGCAGAAGUCCUGGGUUCAAAUCCCGGUGGGGCCA